CGUAUUUUACAUGGUAAAUUUGUGCAUUUGUGUGUGUGUGUGUGUGUGUGCGUGUGCGCGGGCAGUAGCAGGCUGGUGGGUGGGCGGCUUACUGCCUUCAUUCUCUCCGCAGUCAGAGACACUUCCACAGCGUUUGCUACCAGAGCCAUUCACAGCCUUCACUGACAGGAUGCAGGCCAAGCUGGAGCUGCUAUUGCUUGGCUUCAGGAAAAACCCACUUGGUUCCAGCAUCGUGCUGCAUUAGUGUCACCAUUACUCAGCCUCUUAUGAGGAGGAGGAGGAGCUCGGUCAUAAAUCUGUGGUUGUGGCAGCGUGUCAUAACACGACCCCUUACAUGCACAGGUCUGCAUGCAAGAAUACGAUUAUGGAGGCCGUCGUAAACUAAACAUCACGUCCUGAGGCGAAAAGGAUCAUACAGACACUGACUUUAAGGAGCACAGCAAAAAACACACGUCACCUGGAGGGAAAACUCCCCACUGGAUGAUUCCCAAAUACAGCAAAUAAAGCAACUGUGCACCUUCCGCCCAGCACCAAAGGAGAAGUAGAGUUUGUAGACAUAACACGACUUCAAAGACGAGUGAGUAUUGAAUUUGCAUUGAAUUGAGACGUAACUAUGGGUCAUUUUGGCCAACCCCGGAAUACCCCAUGUUGAAGUGUGUGAAUGGGUGAAUGGCAAAACUGUAGUGUAAAGCAGCUCAUCAAGACUAGAAAAGUGCUAUAUAAAUACAGACUUCUGAUUUUAUUUGGUAACAAAGAUGGAGUAAAGGUUGCUGGGAAAUAUAAAUAAAGUAAAGUACAGAUGUGUGAAUUAUACAGUAACAAAGUAUUUGUACUUUAAUCUCAACAGCUCAUGCCUUUCUAAGUUGUUAUGUGUUCAUAUUGUGUUAAUAACCAUACUGUCACGGUUGGUUUAUUGAACAGUCCUUUAGGGGGAAAACAUGUAGCAGACAACAACAGAAGCCUACUUGUGUAUUCGAUUACUAAAUGCAAGGCUUAGUUACUAAAUACUGUAGGUACAGAAUCAAACCUGUGACCCUCCAGUCUCACCAGACACUAAUCCACUGUGCCGCCCAGACUGUGUAGUCUGUCUGAGGCCUGUGUGUGACGCCCUCUCAUCCCCCUGCACUCCACCACCUUGUUGCUUCUCCUUCAAGUGUGUUUACAUCCCCCAGUGUCAACACAGCCUCAGCGCCAUGGCAACGCACACGGGCGACGAGUAGAAGUGAGCACAGGCCUCUGCUUCCACCCGUGUUUUUUUUUUUUUUACAACUGGUUUUAGAGAAAAAGUGGGUUUGGACGAGCACUUUGAUGUCGUGUCCAACAGUGAGCACGAGAGAGAGAUAUGUGUUUGAUGUGGGCAGGCAGCUUGUGUUUUGUGUUUCUGCAGGUGUUUAAGUAGGUUAACAAUACAGAAUACGGCCUAUUCAUGGAAAAUUCUGGGUUUUACAGCCAGUGUGAAGUAGGUCACACUAUCAACAGCGCCGUGUCUGAUUGUCCGUUUUUCAAUUUUCUUUUUCAUGUUGAAGCCAAACUAGUUUUCAAAAGAAUAGAGCCAUGGAUGGAAAACUGCUUGCAUAGUCGGGGAACACCAGCACGUAGCCGACUCCAGGCUUUGUAAACAGAUGUUGAACAUCUGUCUGUUGGAGUUGCUCUUUGAGUUGCAUUUUGUCAGCUCUUCAUGAGGCUCUGGAGAAAAUACUGAAUACAAAGCUUCUGGGUGUUGGCAUGCAAAUUUUUUUCUAUGUGUCUAUUGAACGUCAACAUCUGGUUGGUUCGUUACUACACGACAGGGUGGAGGCGGCUUUUGGAACUGAGAGACCGCAGACUCGGUCGUCAUAGUCCGUAUGUGUUCUCACAGUUGGAAAAUGCAGUCAUUAAGUGCUUUAUUAGUAACAGCACAUGAAAUUAGGCGGCAGCCUUCAUCUGGUCUUCGUGUCACGGACUCCACGGGAAUAUUUGCUUUGAGAUUUGGCUUAAGAUGUUGACGCGAGGCUGCACAUCAUUUCUGCUGGUGAGAAAGACACGACUGGGCUAACUAUUCAUUUUUAAAUACAGGUUGCAUUAAUAUUGCAUGUACACAUGCACUCAAUUGGACCCAGAUUGAACCCAGCAGUGCUCUGCACAUGCUCCACUGUUCAGACCUAGAAACAACUGAAGGAGCUCGUGCACAGAAGAAGAGUCGUCAGGCAGUCGAAGAGUCGUCAGGCAGGGGAGUCGUGGGUUCGUGGGUCACCAGGUCGAGGCUCGGAUGACUUUCCUUGGCGACUACUGCUUCUGUUGCCAAAACGUUUUUUCCCAGUAUACCAGGGCCUUUAUAGUUCAAGCAGAAACUGCUUAAUCCAACCUACAGCUCCACUUAACUGUGGAUGUCAAUGUGCACAUUUUUAUGUAACUCAUUUCUUAAAUUUUUUUUUUACCAUCAAACUGACAGAUUCUCACACAGACUGUGGUGUUCAAACCACAAUUUGCUGGCUUUAAGUUGUAAAAGGCAAAGAACGUCAUCACCCCUACCACCAUCAUUACACCACCAGCAGCAGCAGCAGCCUGGACAGUUUGGGUGCAUGGAUUUAUGCUCAACCUACCAUCUGCAUCCGUCAGUAUCAUCAGACCAGGCUACGUCUUCAGCUGUCCAGUCUGUUUGAUAGAAUUUAACAUCACUAACGUCUUAUAAAGCUUUUAGGAAUGUUGGUUUUUAGUGUGACUUAUGUUGGGCUUGGCUUUAACUUGGCUUGUGACUGAAGGAUUGCCGAGGAUUGUUCGAGUCCCCACCAGGUCAAGGAUUGGGAUCCUGGUGCCCAAUCCCCAUUGCUCAUUGUUAAUUGGACACUCUACAUUAAUGGACCCCAGCCACAGCGAGGCCACAGGUACUCCUGUGCCGGAACCAAGCCCAGGACAAAUGGGAGUGUUGUGACAGGAAGGGCAUCCGAUGUAAAAAAAUCCCUGCAAGAUCAAAUAUGUAAAUCAUCAGCCAUGGCGAACAAUAGAGGGGGAGAAGCUGAAAGACAUUUACAUGACAUUUAAGUAAGUGGAUUAUGUUUGUAACCUGGUAGCUCAAGUGCAUGUUUGAAAGCACGUCAGUCCAAGAAAGACUAGUAAAGCCUCUACUUGCUCAGUGAAAAUGGAUCAAAGUGGCAUAAAUCAGUGUAAUAAACAAGACUUAAAUGUA